rnacentral:piRNA from 1 species
UACGAUCCGGUUGCGGUCCUAACGCGUA